rnacentral:lncRNA from 1 species
AGCAUAGUUAAAGGGACACUAUGGUCACCUGAACAACUUUAGCUUAGUGAAGCAGUUUUGGUGUGUAGAACAUGCCCCUGCAGCCUCACUGCUCAAUCCUCUGCCAUUUAGGAGUUAAAUCCCUUUGUUUAUGAACCCUAGUCACACCUCCCUGCAUGUGACUUGCACAGCCUUCCAUAAACACUCCCUGUAAAGAGAGCCCUAUUUAGGCUUUCUUUAUUGCAAGUUCUGUUUAAUUAAGAUUUUCUUAUCCCCUGCUAUGUUAAUAGCUUGCUAGACCCUACAAGAGCCUCCUGUAUGUGAUUAAAGUUAAAUUUAGAGA